AGAGUAAAGUUAAACUUUACUUUACAGUAAUUUUUUUUCUAUAUACAAAGAAUUACAGUACAUGUUUAUGGGGACUCCUACAGGGUUCCCCUCAUUUUCACUAAGAGUUUCACUUACAGCUGACAAUCUAUGGGGAGGGAGGGGGCAAAAGACCAGUGAUGGACCUCAGCUGACAACCCCCCCCCCGCCCCUUUCUAAAAAAUAUAUAGAUCUCUAUUGUCAGCUUGUUUCUUCGCCAAGACUUAGAAAGCUGCUCUUCCCAUGAGCUCCCGUGUGCUGCACUCACCCAUCUUCAAUACACUCUACAUGCACACACAGCAGCACCCACCUUGGACCUGGAGACCGCCUGUUUUCUGCCCUACCCUGGAAGUCUAAAGCACCACAACCAUUCACUUUUGCUCCUACUCCCUGGGCUCAUCUCCUGUCCACAAAGCUUUGCUGGACUUCCAGGAUAUUAGAACUGAAGCCCCUCAAUAGCCUGAUGUUUUGAAAGUCAUGGGAAAGCAGCUCUAGAGAAGGGACCAUGUAAGAGUUUAACAUGAUUUUGCUUAUGCUAGGAGGAAACAUUUCUCAGGCUGUGGAUUUCUAAUUAAAAUAAACUCUUUCCACUUCCUUAAGAAAUAUUACCCUUAAUUUUCAUAAGCAAUAGAGGUGCUCCCAUGAGAGUGGAAGAGGUAGAGAGGGGCAGAAGGUAACAGGAGAACCCCACAGCUGGAGCUCUCUACCAACCUGUUCUAGGCAGUGUGGACGGAGGCUACACCAGGUGACAAGGUGACACCAGCCCUGAGAAACUCAAUGGCCACCCUCGUCUGGAUACAGCAUCUCUUCUGCCUAGGAUUACACUGAACCACUCCAGGGUCGGGUGCAGGCUUCACUGAGGCUCUGCCUUUUUCUCUAAUAGAGCCUCAAAGAAACCAUUCUACAUAAAUUUCUUCCUCCAAAGCAGGAACCUGGGUUUCUCAAUUCACCAGUCCCUCUCAACCCUUGGCAGUGCUUAUUUAUACCAGAAAAUUAGCACCAUCAUUACAUUUUUUUGUGUUCAAAGCAAUUAUCUAUUAUUUCAAUCUGUCCUACAGCAACCUCUGGCCCUGCUGCAAUGGCCCUAGGAAGCUCAGCUGAGAGCUAAUUGGUCAUAACCAAUGACAGUCUCGUGCAGCAGCUACCUAGCUCUAAGUGAUCUGGAAUGUCUAGCACAUGAAGCAGCCCAAGCAUUAUUUAGCAGGAAAAGGGACUUGUGGAAGCUCCUUUCCUGCAAUGACCUCAGGUGAGGACACUGGGCCACUCCGACCUCCUGGUUGACAAACCCCAAAAGGAUGACAAUAUCCUCCAAAAAAGCCUUAGGAGAAAACCCACUUUAUAGGAGCGGAGGGCAAAAUCCAACCACGUUUAGUGCUUUCCUGAUUCCUUUCCACAGGGGAAGCUGCCAGGACCAUACUUCCUUCCUGCCAUUCUGUUCUCAUGAUGUGACCUGGGAGUCCAGUUCCAGUAAGGAGAUGCUGCUGAACCUGGGAAAGGAUCACUGAUGCGCUUUGUGCCCUGACUGUAGUGUGGGGUAGAGAAUGUGAUAAAACAAUUAUUUCCAUCGAUGCUAAAGAUGCAGAUUUGGUAGUUAUUCAUUAGAGGAUCAACACAGUGACUUAAAUCACCUCAAACUCAGUAACUUAUGGGGGAAGCAGACAUUUAAAAACCUGGGAUACUUCUGUAGCUUUGACAGCUAUUUUGCUAUUAGAAUGGGUUUCUCCAAAGGAGAAGCAAACGAGGCUUUGAAUUCAAAUUUCCAUAAAGUCCUUUUGACUUAACAGGGCUAGGAGACAUAUUGGUUCUUUAGCAACCUAUGGAAGCCAUGGCUUCCCUCUUGGAAACAUUUCCUGGGGACUGGCUCAGAGGCAUUCUCUUGAGAUCCUGAUUUCCAGGCACUUGGCCAAAUACCAAAAUACCACCCUACACAAAGAUCAGGAUUCUAAGAGAAAAGCUUUCCUUUUAACUGCCAAUUCACACCCUCUGGAGAAAAGGUCUCAGUACAGGGCUCCAGGAGAGUCCCCAAGGGCUGGCAAGGUUACUCCCUCCCCACUGACCCUCAUGCAAGAGUCUCAAUUUCCCAACAGUCCUUCUGGCUCUGCUUCUAAUUGUAUGGUGACUGCUUUCUUGAUGUUAACAAUCUGGUAUCAGGUAUGAGGUGGGCCUGAUAGCUGAAUUUCUAGUUUCCAUUCUACCUGAGAGCCUUUCAGUAACCCUCACAAAAGCCUGGUUGUCUAUCCAUUUAGAUAAAGAACUGCCACCCCCCCACCCUCACCCCCAAACCAAGCACACCUCAAAAGUUGUUUUCCCAGGCAGUUCUGGAAGGAAGUUUCCAGCAAAUGGUGGAGAAUGGAAAGAACCAAAACAAAAUCACAGUGGCCAAUUAUGGCCCACCUUUCCCUCACUCCUUGUCCUGUGAGACAUAUCUAGAGAGCGGAUGUCAAGUCAAUUACCUACCAAAGCCUAUUUCAGGAUCAAACUUCUCCACUUAAUUUUUUUUACAUAGCCUGCACACACCCCACCCACCCCCAAAUUCACAGUUUAUUUCAUGAAACAAAGAGCUACGGUAAUUUAACACACAACAUAGUGAAAGGAGAUUCUGACAGUGCAGUGCGAAUAUCUUUUUCUGAUCACAACUACAGAUGACAGGAGAGAAAAGGGCACAGGACUGGCACCAAGCAAACCCUACUCAUACAGCCUAAGAGAUUAGGGAAAGGGACCUACUAGCUGCAGUUAUAUACUUAUUAUUCUCACACAUGAUAAAUACUUAAUAUAACGAACUUUAAUGUUCUGGGUGGAUUUCUUUAAAAAUAUCUUUUCCAUGGUUUAAAAUUUUAAAAAGAAAAUAAGAUGCUUUGUUUUCUCUUCCUUUUGAACAAAGAAGUUUUCUUCUCUCAUGAUGUGGGAAGAGAGGAUGAAAAGGGGAGAACUAGGCAGGUGGAAUUUACAGAGGAGAUUCCGAGGUCUAAGUGGGAUGCAGAUAGGCCCCUAGACUCGGGACAGCCCUGCCCAGCCUCGCACCUCUGCCUGAGUUCAGGUGUCUCAACCCGAGACAGACUUUGGGAAAUAAAAGCAAAUUCUUUUAAUCUUUAUAUAAAGCGCAAAUGCUUCUAUAACUAUUGUUCCCUCCUUAGAAGUGAUGUGGGUAACCUCAAUGAGAACUUAGGAGGAGGAAAUUGGGACAAAAUACAGAAUCCUGUUGAGGGUGUAAAAGCCAUAACUGAAACAGAAUGGCCAGGAGACAUCUGGGCCAGGAGAUGGUCUGUUGGCUAAAGCUGCUGGCUAAGUUGGCAAAGCAGAGAGGUAAACAUGUUUGGUCUAGGGACAAAAGGAGGGGUGAGUGAAUGGGAAGGAACUGGCCAAACAGCACUUCCUGUUGGCAGUUGGUGAGCUGGGUGAAUGGUAGGGCAGGGUAGCACCAACAGAUUUCCCAGCCCUUGGGCCCCAGCUCAGGGCAGCAGUAACAGAUAAUCAGCAGUUAUGAGGAAUCAUCUCUCAGACUGGACAUUGCUCUGAACACCCCAUCUUGCCAGUCAUAGGGGAAGGGUUCUGGCUUGCCUUUGAACAAGGUCAGUAGGCAGGUGCUCUCAAUAUAGAACACAGCGAUUCUCAGGGAUAGGGUGGUAGACUCCACCAGUGAAGGAGAGGACUCCCUCCAUUCAGGUAAGAGAGUGAAGGAUCAGAAGAGAGGGAAUCUUCUAUCAGGAUCUGGCACUCUCCCUGAGCUGGUGGUAGAUGUAGCCCAGAGCUUGCCAGAGGUUCCCUAUGUCCACUGCCCAACUCUGAAAUCUGAAAGCACCUGAGUAUUUAGGGGGCGGGCAUGGGGGUGGGCUGAUGUAAAAGGAGGAAAACAGGUAGAAAAGAAAGGUAAGCUUGCCAAUUGCCUUCUUAUACUUGAGGAAAGCUAUGUCCUUGUAGAGCCCAGCCCCCCAC
rnacentral:lncRNA from 1 species